AUGCAUAACGCCAUUAGCCCUAGAAAAAGGAAAUUCAAAUCUAUAGACGGUAAUCCCAAGAGACGGCGUAGAUCUGAUAGUGGGGGUAGCAAUAUGGAUUUAGAACUUGAAGAGAUGGCAAUGAGGUAUGACGCAACCGGCGAUACGUCUCAUUUGUCGGCCGUAGGACAUGUGGGGGGUGGGGGCAUGUAUGCAGAAGGUUGUUUAGACAUGCGGGAAAUGUGUGUUGGCUUAGAUAGAACUAGGCGUGUGUUAAUUGCAGCUGAUGCAUGGGGGCAUAGCAUGGCUAAUGCUCUAUAUCAGGCAGCACAGAUAAAUGUUUCGAACGAAUCAGGUCUAGAUGAGAUGGUGGGGCUAGAGGCGCCAGGAGAUUUAGACACUAGGGGUGUGUUGUAUGCGGGGGCAAACACACGAAAGGUACUUAACGCUGUCGGGGGGUGGUUGGAUAGUGCACAAGAGAGUCUAUACAUAUCAGCGCAGAUCGAUGUAUUGCAUGGGUCGCAAUGUGAUGAAGGGAUUGGCGAGGGUUUUCAGGACCCCCCGGCUGUGGCAGGGGUCCCUAUAGAGUCGAAUAUACAGGUCGGUGGGGGCGGUGUGGGGGGUGGUGGCGGUAGUGGCGUGGGGGGCGGUAGCGGUAGUGGCGUGGUGGGCGGUGGCGGUGGUGGCGGUGAUGGUGGUGGCGUGGGAGGAGGCGAUGGUGGUGGUGAUGUUGAUGGUGAUGGCAGUGGUGACGGUGAUGGUGGUGGUGACGGUGAUGGUGGUGCUGCUGAUGCUGAUGAUGGUACACCUGUGCCUGCUGUAACGGGGGAAGAUAAUGACGAGUUGCAUACCAGAUUAUUUCCCCAUUUUAACGGCUUUGAGGUUAGACAGGCCAUUGAUCUGAGAAGUAUAUCCCUUGCAAAUUUACAGGAGGUCCCUGAUUUGAUCAGGGAGAGGCUGUCGGGUGUCAUAACGAGCUGCUCACAAAGUUCAGCCGAUGGUAGUGUCUUAAACGUGGUGCUGAGAGGCCCUUCAUUGGCCUCUGAUGUACAGACUGUGCUCGUAUCGGGUGACGACUACAAUGCGGAUUUGUUUAUGGACCAUAUUAGCCAAGUCAUGCAAAGUAACGACACAGGUCUGACGGAUGACGUGCUAGAGUUGGUGGUCACAGGGGUCCACAACAAGCGGGGUGGGGCACGUUUGAAGUUAAAAAACAUUCCCUAUGAUGAAAUCAUAUACAAGAAGAAGCUAAGUCUCUACACCCCGAGUAAUACUCAUAACAAUUUGUGUUUCUCACUAUGCAUGACACAUUUUCUGCAUGAAGGGGUAACCGGGGGUGACACAGCGUCCGAAGAGACUAAUUUGGAGGCGGCUCGCAAAUUACACAGUGAUCUGGGGUUUGACCCGGAUCACUCUGUGGGUUUCUCGGAUGUAUCCAAAUUUGAGAGACAUCUAGAUGUUAAAAUCCUGAUAUUUCAUCAUAAUGACACAUUCAGGAAGCUGGAGAUGUUCCAGACACAUACAGCCCAGCAUCCUAAAACAGUAUGGCUGUACCUCCAUGAUAACCAUUACCAUUGCAUAGAGAACAGAACGGCAUUCUUUGGUACGGGAUAUGUGUGUGAAUAUUGUUACAAGGCCCAUGAGGGAAUUCUAUUCCACAAAUGCCCGAUCCAUUGCAAUGUGUGUCUGACAGUGUGCGAUAGACUAGCAGGUCGUACGAUAAAGUGCAAGGACUGCAGUCGUAUAUGCCGCUCGCAGGUCUGCUACAACACACACAAGAAGCAUUCUGCCAAACAUGACAUGAUACCUUGUGAAAAGCUCAAAUACUGCGAUCGUUGUUGUAGACAGUAUAUCAUACCGAAGAAGAAGAAGAAGGGGGUGGGGGAGGGGGAGGAGGAGGAGGAGGAGGAGGAGAAGGGUGACGCUAAUGGUCAUGUAUGCAGCGAUGCAAAGUGUCGUAAGUGUGGGGAGCCGAUGCCCGAAGAGGGAGUACAUGAUUGCUAUAUCCAGCCGUACGACAAGAAAAAGAAAAAGAAACGCAGGGGUGGUCCAUCGGAUGACGAUGAUGACGACGCUCCGCCUAAUAAAUACAUAUACUAUGAUUUCGAAACGCGCGUGCAUGAUGGUCGUCACGAAGCAAACUGUGUGGCGGCUAUUACGUCUGAAGGCAUAGAAUGGUAUGCUACCGGUCUAGAUUGUGUAAGAGAGUUUGUGAAACGCUACAGAACAGGGGAGUAUACGUUGUAUACAUUUGUGGCACACAAUGCGUCGGGCUUUGAUAACUAUAUCGUCCUGGACUACAUGACCAAGCAGGGUAUUAAACCCGUUUUAGUCAUGAAGGGUAGCAGAGUCAUUUUGAUGCGUGAUGACGCCUACCAGCAGAGAUGGGUCGACUCGUUUAGCUUUUUGCCCAUGCGACUGGCUAAUGCACCGGAGGCGUUGGAUUUUGAUGAUAUGGUAAAAGGUUAUUUUCCUCAUAAAUUCAACACACGGGCCAACGAGUCUUAUGUCGGUGCCUACCCUGAGAUCUCAUAUUAUGGUUAUGAUUCCAUGACUAGCGAUCAAAAGACAGAUUUCGCUAUUUGGUACAGAUCUGUACGACACAAAAAAUUUGACUUUCAGAAACAGCUACUGUGUCAACGAUGUGAUGAUCCUGUACACAGCGUGUGGGAUCUACAGGGAAAAUUUCAUAGAGUGUGCCAAUAUAGACCCCCUGGCCUAUGCCACCCUGGCUUCGGCGUGCAUGGCCACCUUCAAAAAGUCGUUCUUGAAGAAAAACGUCCUGGCAUUGACCUACGAGGGGGUCUAUAG
rnacentral:lncRNA from 1 species